UAUUAUUUUUGAUGUAAAUUUUGGGCUUGAGUAGUAAUAGUUAUGUUCUUGAAACUUAAAGAAUUUGGCGGUAUUUUAGUCUUUUUAGAGGAAUCUGUUCCUUCAUUCGAUAGUCCACGUUGGACCUUACUUAAUUUUUUAAUUUGUAUACCGCCGUUAUUAAAAAUUUUUUUAGAAUUAAUUUUUGGUAUUUUAUUAGAUGAUUUUCAGGUCAAGGUGCAGUUUAUAAUUAAGUGGAAAUGGAUUACAUUAUUUUAAGAUAACGGAUUAUUAAUUUGGAUUUUGAUAUAAAGGUGGAUUUAAGGGUAAUUUUAUUAAGAAUAAUAAUGUGAUUAUAGCUCUAAAAUAUGUACAUAUCGCCCGUCAUUCUCAUCAUAAUAUGGAUGAG
rnacentral:rRNA from 1 species